UGCUUAUCAAGCUCGAGACAUCAGCGCCCUUGUAAUUUUAGUUAUCAGAUGUGAAAGAUGUUUUACCGCUGAACGUAAAACAAAAUUCUUUCUCAGAACAGAUAUGUAUAGGAAACGCGUCGAUUUGGUAAAACAGGGUGAUCUAACCAUCUCGGUUUCAACUUUAUAUUUAGCUUCAACAAAAGUAUCGCACCAAUGAAGCAAAAGGUAUAUACGUACAAAAGAAUUUAACAGACGCGAUAAUACGAGCUUCUUGUGCCUAAAAAUCGAAUAAAGCUAUCAGCUAUCAGCGAAACAGCUAUCAGUCACAACCAAUUUUUCCGUAGUUCACUGUUUUUAAACAAUACAUCUGUAUUCGUAUUACGAAACAAUUUACCGAGAUAGCGAACUGACGUAAACCAGGAAACGUUGUUUGUGACAAUCAGCUGCGAGUGAUUAUCGAGCUGAAACGUGAGAGUACUCGUUUUGUAUGUCCCACAAAAAGAGAACGGUCCUCGAGGCAACCUAAAAGCAUGAGGUGCAUUUUUUCGAAACAACUUCAUAGCUGUUUUUCAAAGAGCCUUAAGCCUUUCUUCGACAGUUCGCAUAAAAUAAAAAGAAUAGUGCAAAAUGAAUUAUAAGCGAAGUAACAGGAAGAUAAGAAAUAAGGAAAAAAUAAAAUAUUAAAGUGAAGUAGGGUAGUGGAAUAUGGUUUCCAAAGUACAAAUGACAAUACAGGUCCAGAAGCGUGAUCAAUGUUCAUAUCAUGAUCAAAGAGGCGUAUCUUAAAUAUGGUGAUCUGGAUAAUUUCAUGGAAAUGAUGACAGAUGAUACAAAAGGGAAUUAAUCCGCGGUUAACACUCGAUGGACAUUAAACUGGUCGUUUUAUUGACUAUAAUUUGGACGGGAGGGAUACAAAUAGAUAGAUGACGAAGCAACUCUUUGGAACACACCUUGAAAACAAAUUGACGCAGUCACACGGUCUGUCACAUAUCAUAAACCAAACAUCAAGAAACAUUUUUGGCAACAGUUAUAUUCUAUAGCUAUAACAGAAUAUUUGUAUGAUAUU